rnacentral:rRNA from 1 species
UACGUAGGGGGCUAGCGUUGUCCGGAAUCAUUGGGCGUAAAGCGCGUGUAGGCGGCCCGGUAAGUCCGCUGUGAAAGUCGGGGGCUCAACCCUCGGAUGCCGGUGGAUACUGUCGGGCUCGAGUACGGAAGAGGCGAGUGGAAUUCCUGGUGUAGCGGUGAAAUGCGCAGAUAUCAGGAGGAACACCAGCGGCGAAGGCGGCGCUCUGGGCCGAUACUGACGCUGAGGAGCGAAAGCGUGGGGAGCGAACAGG